UUUCUUUUCCGCAUUAUAUUUUUUAUAUAAUUGAAAUAAUACAGGUUGUUCGUUAAGAUCAUCAAUUGGAAAUCCAACCUCUGGUUGUUGAUUGAUAUUGAUUGAUCCUUGGACAUUGGUCUUUGGUACCGUCCAAGUUAUCUCUCUUUGAUAAAGACUCGCAGAUUUCUAUUUUCUUGAGUAAAGAUCAAAUCGAGAGAUUGAGAUAUUAACUCCUUGAGAUGCUUUUUAUCUAGAUUGUGUCUGACUGUCUAGUUGAUUCUCUAGCUAAGUAUUUAGGAGUUAGUCCAUACAGAUUGCCUAAACGAAAUAUGUGGUGGUGUUGUUAGACCCCCGCUUUUUCAGAAACUAUCAAGUUGGACUACAUUGUGGGCAGAGGGAAUUUCCGCUAGAGCGGUGAAAUUCGUAGAGAUCGGAAAGAACACCAAUGGAGAAAGCACUCUGCUGGCCCGACACUAACACUGAUAGACGAAAGAUAGGGGAGCGAAUGGGAUUAAAUACCUAGUAGUCCUAGCCGUAAACAAUGGAUACUAGGCGCUAUGCGUAACAACUCGUGCAGUUCUGUAGCUAAUAUAUUAAGUAUGCCACCUCAGGAGUACAUUCGCUAGAAUGAGAUUCAAAGGAACUAACGGGGGAUCGCACAAGCGGUGGAGCAUGUGGUUAAUUCGAUGCAAAGCGGAGAACCUUACCGGGGAUUUACAUGUCGCGAAUCCACUUGCAAGUGAGGGGUGCCUUCGGGAAUGAGGAUACAGAUGGUGCAUGGUUGUAGUCAGCUCGUGCGGUAAGGUGUCAGGUCAAGUCCCGCAAUGAGCACAACCCUCGUGUUUAGUUGCCACCAUUGAGUUUGGAAUCCUGAACAGACUGUCGGUGAUAAACAGAGGAACGUGAGGAUGACAUCAAGUCAUCAUGCCCAUUAUACCCCUCGGUGAGACACGUUCUACAAUGGUCGGGACAAAGGGUUUCCAUCCCGCGAGGGUGAGAUAACCCAAAAACCCGUCCUCAGUUUGAAUUGCAAGUUGCACUCGUCCUCAUGAAGCCAGAAUCGCUAGUAAUAAUCGGCCAUCCAUGCUGCAGUGAAUUCGUUCCUGAUACUUGUACACACUUCCCGUCACAUUAUGGGAGAUGGUUAUUCCCAAAGUCAUUACCUAGAACACAAGCACGAGGAUGCCGAUGAAAAGACAAGGAUACCCAAAUACACCACAAUCUUUUAAUUAUCCAC
rnacentral:rRNA from 1 species